rnacentral:rRNA from 1 species
CGGGGUGGAGUAACGCGUGGAUAACCUGCCUCACACAGGGGGAUAACAGAUAGAAAUGACUGCUAAUACCGCAUAAGCGCACGGUACCGCAUGGUACAGUGUGAAAAACUCCGGUGGUGUGAGAUGGAUCCGCGUCUGAUUAGGUAGUUGGUGAGGUAACGGCCCACCAAGCCGACGAUCAGUAGCCGACCUGAGAGGGUGACCGGCCACAUUGGGACUGAGACACGGCCCAA